rnacentral:siRNA from 1 species
UAGUGAAGAUGGUGUCUUCUCCAC